rfam:Schistosoma haematobium scaffold3687_1, whole genome shotgun sequence.
AUUUAGCUGAUAAGUACCAAAUAGGAUGAAACACGUGUCCUGGAU